CUACGGGCUGCUCCAGUGGGGAAUAUUGGACAAUGGGGGAAACCCUGAUCCAGCAAUGCCGCGUGUGUGAAGAAGGCCUGCGGGUUGUAAAGCACUUUCGGUUGGGAGGACUGCUUCUAGCACUAAUAUUGUUGGAAGUUGACGUUACCUUCAGAAGAAGCACCGGCUAACUCCGUGCCAGCAGCCGCGGUAAUACGGAGGGUGCGAGCGUUAAUCGGAAUUACUGGGCGUAAAGCGCGCGUAGGCGGCUAGAUCAGUCGGGUGUGAAAGCCCCGGGCUUAACCUGGGAACUGCAUCCGAUACUGUCUAGCUUGAGUACAGGAGAGGAGAGUGGAAUUCCACAUGUAGCGGUGAAAUGCGUAGAUAUGUGGAGGAACACCAAUGGCGAAGGCAGCUCUCUGGCCUGAUACUAACGCUGAGGUGCGAAAGCGUGGGGAGCAAACAGGAUUAGAUACCCGUGUAGUC
rnacentral:rRNA from 1 species